rnacentral:lncRNA from 1 species
GUAACACCCCAGGUAACCACGUACAUAGAAUGCCACACCAAAAUACACUCAAAAACUAAGUCCUAAAAUUAUUAGAAAUUUCGGCAGAGUCUCCCCUAAAAAUACGGACAUCACGACAGGCAGUUAUAAGAAAGGUCAAUACCGAUAUAAACCACACAAUCCAAACCAUCCUAGUGUAGACCCCCGAUUUUGGAAAUCGGAAAUCUUCUGUGUUUAUCCGUACCAAUCCCUGGAUCAGUAGUUGGUACACACAUACAUAGUUGGAUCACAACAUAUCACGAAUGAAUUUAGACUAAAAGAGUUAAAUACUUACAUUAGGGCCAGGUAGGCCAACAACUAUCAGAGAACAACAGCGGAAGACAAAAUAAUAUAAGGGCCCGGUUAACAUGCCACAGGCAGUCGACUGGGGAACGAGACCUAGAACAAGACCGCACUCCGAUCAUCUUGUGGGAUACGCAAGCGUACCGACAAGGGCUUCUCUUCAACACUCUCCUAAAAGAUAUAUAAAUAGCAAGGGUGAGUACCAACCGUACUCAGCAAGCCACCACAACAACAAUGCAUAUGAUAGAGGGUAUUUCAAGGAAUGGCUUCAGGUUCUUUUGGAUAAAGCUAAUUUUACAAUUCUUUUCACAAGCCUAAAACCUAGCAUAGACUGAUCAAAUUUUAGUACCAGUGUUCACUUUAAACAACGACGGUUCUGUCCACCAUCCAUUGUGAUCCCAAGGAUAGCUUCCCGCCAUUGAAUCGUCAUGGUUUUCUGAGGAUGUCCACCUUCCCUCCUCUCGGGAAGUGGCUCCAUCAGCAUAAAAUUCAUCAUGCAAUAUCCCAUUCCCCACAAGUUAAGAAUUUAGAGUCUAGCCAAGUGUAAUACAUGUCCCGGUGCUCAAUAACCGCGAGCACGGCUAUUCGAAUAGAUUUGGUUUACUCACACUGCAGUGGAUGUACACUUUACCCGCACUCCGCGACUGCCCAACACAUGAGCCUCGUCCCAACACAUGAGACGCGUCACGGCAAAGCUUUUCGAUAACCUCGCAUUGGCAGUACCCGCUCCAUGAACUUAAAUCCUCAUGCACUCUAGGCGUCCAUGUUUCUAGCAGUGAGAGGAGUUCUGGCGCUCCCGGGAAAGAGAAGUCUCACACGCAUAUUAAAUUAUGGUUCAAGUUAAGUUCUCUCUCUCACACACUCAUGACAGUCCUACCAAUGGCGACACCGAUGUAGGGCACGCCUCUCGGCCCUACCUCAACGGCUGUCCCAUUGUAGCGCACCUGUCUCACUCAGGGGUGAACCAUCUAUGCAGGGAUACUGCCUCCGCUCGGCUAUCUAAUCCGCUAGGUCUAUACCCAUUCGAGAAGUACGGUUGUACGGGGGUCGUUUCAUGCUUAACUUCAUGGCUCGGUCCUUAAUUGACCAGGGACGGUACUAGCCUUUUCCAGAUACCACCCAAAUCCUCCGUCCGCCCCAGUCGAAAACAGUUGUUUAAUUUUAUUUCUCCUUUCACAAAUCAUGUCAUCAACAUCAUGGCAAUGUGGCGCUCAUGUCUCCACAUGCCGCAUCUCAAUUACCUUCCCAAAGGUAAUUGCCCAAGCAUAUAGCAUUUGAUAAAUAUGAGUAUGCAUGAUUCUAGAAUGGCAUUUCUAAGCAAUUGUCAUAAUUGACUAGGGACUCAUACGUAAUCAUGGUUACAAGGAUUUUAAGGGUAAACAAUAAUCAAGGCAUGGCAUAAUCACAAGUAGGAUGUUCAUCAUUGCAUGAAAUUUUAUUUGUAAACAAAACAAUUUCGCAAUUAGGAUCAACAUGUUCAAGGAAUAGUGAUGACUUGCCUUGCUCAGGAUAAUCCUUAUUAUUGCUAUAAUCUUGAUCAACCUUCACCUCCUGUAAGUUGCAGACGUUGCCUCACGACUAACCGAUACACAAGGUCUAUAAUACGCGAGAAAAACCAAUAUUCAAACAACAAUCAAAUAUGCGCAACAAAAUGUACUACUUCGUGUUUGCUAAUGGAUCCCAAUCAUGCUAAGGCUAAAGUUUCUUAAUCUUUCUAUUGUCAUCGUGGCCUAUUUAGGAGUUAACCAACAUAGCAUUUAUGGGAUACAUAUAUAUUUGGCUAAUCAGUGGUUUAGUCUAUCAAAUGGCUAUGGAAGGAUUUUGGCUAUGUACGCAUCUAUCUAAAUAGGACGGUUAUAUACUAGAGGUUCUGUUGCUAGAUGGAUUUAGGAUCAAUCAAACAAUUACAGUGAUUCAUUUGUAUUAUUUAUUUUAUUGAUGGAAGCUUUACUUUAAUUAUGAACAUAUUUUACUUGCCAUUAUAAAUUAUAAAAGGGCUAAUAAUUAUCCCUGCUCUAUAUGUUAAAUUCGGGAAGUUUAUAAUAUUAUAUUUACAGAUUAUCUCUUAAUGAACAAUCCGGAUUUACAAUUGAACUAUGAACAUAUGAGGUCAAGAUUUAUAAUUAGUACUUAUCUAAUAUACAUGUUUGUCAAAAGAUGGGUUAUUGUUCCUAUGUAUGAUUUUAAAUGGAUUGUACAGUAUAUGUGAUCUAAGUGGGUUGACAAGUGAUUUUACUGUUUGGGUAAUUAUUGGAUGUUAACCGACUCAACCUUAUUUGGGUGGUUCUAUCAUAACAACUCUGUUCCUAUUCCUCAUAAAUAAAUUAAAGACUCAUCUAUGUGUAUUCAUGUUUGAUUUACCUAAUUAUAAGGCUAACUUUACUAUUUAAAUAAUCUAUAAGUCAUGGGUUUAAUAAUACAACCAUUACAUAGUGCUAGUAUCUUCCAAUACAUUAGUUUGAGACAUUAUUUAAAAUUAGUUUGUGUGGUUGUUACAGUGACAAAGCAUGUUAAAGGCCUAUAUCAUUACAUCUACUCUAUUGUACAUUAUCAAAUCUAUUUAUUAGCACAUUUUUAAGUUGACUACUAUGCAUCAUCUUGAUAUUAAUUAUUUAGUAAUUAAUAAUAUAUUUUCUUAAAUAAUGAAUUAUAUACCAUUGGAAAGCUUAUGAAUUUAGAUGAAUUUAGGAUCAAGUUUCAUUCAAAUCGGAGUUAAAAUGAAUAAGUUAUGCUAGUGUAAGGAUUCAAAUUCGAAUAAUUGCGAAACAGUACUGUUCACAUCCGAUUUAUUUUAAUCCGAAACCUAUCUACAGCUCAGAGUCACUGACGGGUGGGGUCAGGGGUCUUAUUAUCUUUUCUACCGAAUUAUUUUUGUUAGAGAAAAAUGGGGAGUGGGCCCGGCUUGUCAGUGGCUCGGCUGCUCUCUUUCUCUCUCUCGUUCUUUUCCUAUCGUCUUCUACCUCCAGACCGUGCGGGAGCAGCAGGGGCGGCGCAGCGCGCGCGGCAAGGCCGGCGGAGGGCGACCCGACGGCGACCAGGGGAGGGAGCGGCAAGGCUCCGGCGUCCACCUGCCGGCGGUCACGGCGUAGGACGGCGCGGGGGCGAGCAGCGCCGCACGGCCGCCAUGGCCGGGCACGGGUAGCUAGGUGCUAGGGCGAUACGGAGGGUUUCCGACCAAAUUGGUGCGGGCGUGAGCAUCUAUGACGUGUGAGGGUUCCAUUUUACUUAUUAGAUGGCUAGGAAGAGCUCCGGGAUGGCUUGUCCACGGCAAGCUCGCCGGCGGCAUAAUGGUGGCCGGGCCAGCACGGCUACGGGCGCUAGUCGCCGAAAUUGAAGGAGGCUCGAGUUUCUACGGAACCAGGAGAGACCUGAGGAGCGUGGACUUACCGAUAGACGGCGGGACGACGAAGAUCGGGUGCAGUGGUGGAGCGGAGAAGAAGGUGCAGCACGCCCACAAGAUGCUCGAUGAAAUGUAUCCGAGGAAGAAGAAAAGGAAGAGAGGGGAGGACGAGCUCGUGGGGGCUGGGAGGUGUGGGGAGGGAAGGGGAGGCAUGGGUUUAUAUAGGGGGCGGAGGGGAGAGGUGGCCGGUGCAGUGAUGGCGGAUGGGACGCGCGCGGCGUGCGGGGCUCGAGGCGAGCGGCGACGGGACAUGAGCGCAGGCGCAGCGCGGGGCUCGGCGCGAUGAUGGCGACGGCGCAGCAGCUGACGGCAGCGGCGCGGGGCUCGAGACGAGCGGUGACGCGACGGCGACACGCGGCGACGCGACGGUGACGGCGACAGCGCGACGGCGGCGCGGGGCUCGGCGCGGCGAGAACGACGGCGACGCAGCAGCGGCGCGAUGGGACGGCACGCGGCGCGGCAGUGCACGGGGCGCGAGGGCGCGUAGGCGGCAGAGGGAGGUGGGACGGGCGCGCGGCGGGGCAGGGGCGCGGGGCGCGAGGCGACGACGUGACGGCGACGACGAUGGCGCGCGGGGCUCAAGGCGGCGACGGCGACUGCUCGACGGCGACGGCGAUGGCGCGCGGCGCGGGGCGCGAGCUGGCGCGCGGCAGCGGCGCGGGCGACGACGAUGGCGACACGAGCGGCAUCAGGCAGGAGGAGGAGGAGGGCUAGGACGGCUAGGAACCAAAUCGAACACCUAGGGUGCUAAUGAACAGUGCUAGCCGGCUAUUUAACCCUAUUUUAGCAUAUUUCCUAUAUAAAUUUUAUUCUAUAAAUCCUAAUUUUUACACAAAUGAAGUUUACUCAAUAUUUGUGUUAUUCUAACCAAUGGAUUCACCCUAGAUUAAUAUUACCCAUAUUUAUUUAUUUAUCGCACAAAUGAAUUCUUUUUAGAUUAAUUUGAGUUAUUGGCCCUAAGGUGAACUUGUAUAUUUUUGAAGACUUUGGGGUACUAUUACAUUUAAUAUAUCGACUUGUCAUGAUUAAUACAUUAGCAGAUUGGUCAAGUUUAGUUGUAUAGCAAUAUAUUUUACACGGAUAGGUUCAAUCUAUUUAUUCUAUAAAUAGUAAAUUGAGACUCGGUACAAUAUCAAUCUAAUUGUUUAAUUAAAACUCACAUAUUCUUAUUUAUAUAUAAGCUUAAUGUAUUUAUAUGACCAUCAUUUUAUAUGAGUGAAUUUUAUGCCCAGAAAGAUAUGUUAAAUAUUAAUGUAAGUAUUCCAAUGAAAUACUCAUCUACAAAUAGGAUUACUAUAGUGGUGAUCAUCAUUUCAUGUGGAUAGGUUGUCCUUUUAAAUCGGUUUUACCUCUAUAUGAAUCAUUAUAUUUUAAUAUUUGACCUAUAAAUUAAAUUAGUAAUUAACCUUCUCUUUGUAUGGCUUUGUUGUGGUGCGUAAUUAUUUAUAGAGUUCAUAAUAAAUAUCUUAUUUUUAUAAUUGUUACUCAGUUGUAUAGCUUUAGCUUAAUUUUCAGUGGUGACAAUUUAUAGUUCGGCAAGCAAUAACAACCAUAACUUCCAGCAUGAUGCAAAAGUUUUAAAAAGUUCAAAAUUUUAGUGAUUUUUAUUGUCUUGAAUUUUCAGGAUGUUACACCUAGCUCCACAAAUCCCACGUGAAAAAUAAAGAUCAGAACCUUAAAUGACCUUUACAAGUUCUAUGCAAAACUUAUGCUGAGCAAAAAUUAUAGUCUAAAACUAAUUUCAAUUGUGUGCAAUAAUAAUGUGUAGUCCAAGGGUGCUACUCCCGCCCCAUGCCGAUCGAUGUCAUUAGGUAUCUAAAAACCAAAUUAAACACAAGAGUGAGUAAAGAAUACUCAGCAAGUACAAUCUUGAACUAGUAAAACAUACGCAUGAUUUAUGCAUUAAGAAACCAACAUGAAGGGUUGGAUUUACUUUAUUUUUAAACAAAAGAAGUCAAAAGAUAGUAGUUCCCUCCCGGGCAGGUGUGAAUAUCCUCUUAGCAUUACCGGUAAGCCGAGCAAGCGUGAUCAGCGCUUCUCAAGGAUCAUGAAUAAAGAUCCAAAUUGCACUCCCAUGGCUACGCAUGGUUCUUGAAUAAUGUAAACAGAACAUCCGGAAUAAUGAAACAUGAAUUUGAAUAUGGGUCGAAACACGAAUAACUAGCAUAACGUCAUAGCCAUACAAUCAGUAAUAACAAGCAAUUGAAUAAUAAUUAUGCAAGUAAAGCCAAACAAAACAACUCAGUUUUGUCCAUCAUAUAAGUCCGUCUUGUACUUGCCUUAACUCAUUCGAUACUCCGACUCAACUCCUCCAACGUUGGAACCCUCCACACCUGUGGAGCAAAACUACGCAUAAACCACUAUAUUCAACUAAUGAUGGUUACAAGGGAUAUUUAGUAAAAUCGAAACCUAGAACAUAUAAACCUUUUACCGAUUUGUAUUAAAUAACCUAUAGCUGUUCCAUUACUGUUUUAUGAGUAACUCACAAACCGUCUAACGGAAACUAGCAAAUAAUACAACUUCGGACAUCUAGACAAAAUUGUCUACAACUUUCAUGUUGAGCACAAAAUCAGAUUAUGCCUCUGAAAAUCCCACAUUAAGGAAAAACGAACUGCUGUCCUGAUUUCCGGACCCGGUCAGCAGUACUGUUUUUGCUGUUUCUCCUAAACCGUUGAUCGGAAUCGAGUGAAACUAGCAGCGUUGGAAAGAUAUUGACAAUGACUACAAACUUUAUUUAGGACAACUAACCUGAUUCCUGAUGGUUUAAUACCAGAUUUGAAAAUACGGUUUCAGCCUAGCGUUCGAUAUAAAAUAAAUUCGAAAAAACCGGAAACAGAUCGUCUUAAAUAUAAAUUAGAAACAACUAUAGACUAAAACGGAUUACCUAGCAGUACUAAUGUAUAAGAAAAACGAAGAAUUUGGAAAUAUUCACCAAAUUCCCCAAAUUUCCCUUCUUCUAUCAAAUUUCCCCUUCUUUCCUUCCUUCCUGUUCUUCUCUGCCUUCUCUCCCUCCUUCCUGUUCGUUGCAGGCCAACAGCAGCAGCAGCAGAAACGAAUAUCGGCAGCAACAGCAAGCCGUACACCACCACCAAGGAAGAGAUCAGAUCGACAAUAGCAGGGUUCGGCAGCAGCAGGGAAAUUAACAGAAACAACAGUAGCUCACCAACGACCGGCUGCGGACGACGACGGCUGUGGCGACCGGCGAUGGCUGCACCAGCGGCGGCGCCGGCGAAGAGAGGAACAGCAGCGGCGGCGGCAGAGCGCAGGAGGUGCGGCGGCUAGGGCUACAGGAGAAUCGCUCCUGUUUCUUUUUUUUUCGUUUGUUUUUUU